UACGUAGGGUGCGAGCGUUAAUCGGAAUUACUGGGCGUAAAGCGUGCGCAGGCGGUUCGCCAAGUCAGGUGUGAAAUCCCCGGGCUUAACCUGGGAAUUGCGCCUGAAACUAGCGGGCUUGAGUGUGGCAGAGGGGGGUGGAAUUCCGCGUGUAGCAGUGAAAUGCGUAGAGAUGCGGAGGAACACCGAUGGCGAAGGCAGCCCCCUGGGCUAACACUGACGCUCAGGCACGAAAGCGUGGGGAGCAAACAGG
rnacentral:rRNA from 1 species